rnacentral:rRNA from 1 species
AGUGAACGCUGGCGGUAGGCCUAACACAUGCAAGUCGAACGGCAGCACAGUAAGAGCUUGCUCUUACGGGUGGCGAGUGGCGGACGGGUGAGGAAUACAUCGGAAUCUACUUUUUCGUGGGGGAUAACGUAGGGAAACUUACGCUAAUACCGCAUACGACCUACGGGUGAAAGCAGGGGAUCUUCGGACCUUGCGCGAUUGAAUGAGCCGAUGUCGGAUUAGCUAGUUGGCGGGGCAAAGGCCCACCAAGGCGACGAUCCGUAGCUGGUCUGAGAGGAUGAUCAGCCACACUGGAACUGAGACACGGUCCAGACUCUUACGGGAGGCAGCAGUGGGGAAUAUUGGACAAUGGGCGCAAGCCUGAUCCAGCUAUACCGCGUGGGUGAAGAAGGCCUUCGGGUUGUAAAGCCCUUUUGUUGGGAAAGAAAAGCAGCAGGUUAAUACCCCGCUGUUCUGACGGUACCCAAAGAAUAAGCACCGGCUAACUUCGUG